AGUGAACGCUGGCGGCAGGCCUAAUACAUGCAAGUCGAACGGCAGCACAGUGGAGCUUGCUCCAUGGGUGGCGAGUGGCGGACGGGUGAGGAAUACGUGGGAAUCUGCCCAGUCGUGGGGGAUAACGUAGGGAAACUUACGCUAAUACCGCAUGCGCCCUUCGGGGGAAAGCCGGGGACCUUCGGGCCUGGCGCGAUUGGAUGAGCCCACGUCGGAUUAGCUAGUUGGCGGGGUAACGGCCCACCAAGGCGACGAUCCGUAGCUGGUCUGAGAGGAUGAUCAGCCACACUGGAACUGAGACACGGUCCAGACUCCUACGGGAGGCAGCAGUAGGGAAUAUUGGACAAUGGGCGCAAGCCUGAUCCAGCCAUGCCGCGUGAGUGAAGAAGGCCUUCGGGUUGUAAAGCUCUUUUGUCCAGAAAGAAAAGCUUCGGGUUAAUACCCUGGAGUCCUGACGGUACCGGAAGAAUAAGCACCGGCUAACUUCGUGCCAGCAGCCGCCGUAAUAC
rnacentral:rRNA from 1 species